GAAGCUAAUACCUGAUAAUAUUUUGAACCGCAUGGUUCAAAAGUGAAAGACGGUCUUGCUGUCACUUAUAGAUGGAUCCGCGCUGCAUUAGCUAGUUGGUAAGGUAACGGCUUACCAAGGCAACGAUGCAUAGCCGACCUGAGAGGGUGAUCGGCCACACUGGAACUGAGACACGGUCCAG
rnacentral:rRNA from 1 species